UUUGUUCUGCGGAGACAAGAGGGAGCGUGAGCGGGAGACGAUCCGGCAUAUGUUUGACAGCGGCACGGACGCGACGGCGGGCCAGAAAAGCACAGCGGCUCAGCGUGUGUGCGGAAGAAAGGAGGCAGCUAAAAGUGGCUUCGAGUGCUGGCAGAGAAAGAGGCGAGCCACAACUUCAGGCCUGGCCACGGACAAAGAUGAUGCACGGUAAUCAUUCGCUUGAAAUCCUCCAGCGGCCGCUGCCUCCGCUUGUACACGCGCGCACGCAUGUGUGUGUGUGUGUGUCUCUCUGUGCGACGAGGUAGGAGCUCCUCCGACAGCAGGGUGACUCCUCCACGGCCAGUCUUUCCAGGAGACGGGGACGUGGGCAGGCAUCUGCCAAGGCAUUCACAAAGCCGUCCAACGCUCCUAGCAGCACAAGUGGUCUGUGAACCUGACGGAUUGGCGAGAGGAUUUGUACA